rnacentral:rRNA from 1 species
CCGGAAGGGAUAGCUAAUACCGCAUACGUCCUGGAGGGAAGAAAGGCGGGGGAUCGCAAGACCUCGCGCGAUUGGAGCGGCCGAUAUCGGAUUAGCUAGUUGGUGGGGUAAAGGCCUACCAAGGCGACGAUCUCUAGCUGGUCUGAGAGGAUGAUCAGCCACACUGGGACUGAGACACGGCCCAGACUCCUACGGGAGGCAGCAGUGGGGAAUAUUGGACAAUGGGCGCAAGCCUGAUCCAGCCAUGCCGCGUGUGUGAAGAAGGCCUUCGGGUUGUAAAGCACUUUCAGCGAGGAGGAAAGGUUGUAGCUUAAUACGCUGCAGCUGUGACGUUACUCGCAGAAGAAGCACCGGCUAACUCCGUG